AUGUGGAUGCAGUGCCCAUGCAGUGGAUGCAGAGUACCAAAAGUAGGUUGCCGCAUGUUGUGAUAGAGGAUGUGGGGCCUGGUGUUUUAUGCAGUGAGCUGGCUGUGAUUGCAGUACGCCUUCAGAGCCACUUCAGCUGGCUGUGGUCUCGCUGCAGUGGUUGCAAUGCCCCCUGCAUUGUCCUGGAAUGUUGAUGCAGUGCUCAUGCAGUGGAUGCAGCGUUCCACAAUGUGGAGGCAUUGUGGUGUGUUGUAGUAUGCAGUGCCGAUGAAGGUGAAUUCAGUGAUCCUGCAAUGAUGGCAGUGCACCUGCAGUGCCACUUCAGCUGGAUGCAGUGUUGCUGCAGUGUUUGCAGUGCCCCCUGCAUUGUCCAGGAAUGUGGAUGCAGUUGCUAGGCAGUGGAUGCAGUGUCCCACAAGGUGCAUGCAGUAUGUUACGACGGAUGAUGCAGUUCUCAUGAAGGUGGAUGCAGGGUCCCAGCAUUGCUUGCUGUGACCCCUGCAGUGUCCCAGAAUGUGGAUGCCAUAGUCAGGCAGUGGAUACAGUGUCCCACAAGGUGGAUGUCGUACGUUGUGAUGGAAGAUGCAGUGCCCACAGACGUGGAUGCAGUGAGCCUUUGCUGAAUGCAAUGCACCUGCAUUGCGACUUCUGCUGUAUGCAGUGUCCCUGCAGUGGUUGCAGUGAUCCUGCAGCGGUAGCAGUGCACCCUGCUGUGUCCCUGAAUGUGCUUGCUCUGAAUAUGCAGUGGAUGCAGUUAUCCUGCAGUGAUUGCAGUGCACCUUCAUUUCCACAUCAUCUGGAAGCAGUGUCCCUGCAGGGGUAGCAGUGCUGCCUUCUGUGUGACUGAAGGUGAAUGCAGUGCCCGUGCAGUGGAUGCAGUGUGCAUAAAGGUUUAUGCAUUAUGUUGUGAUGGAGGAUGCAGUGCCCAUGAAGAGGGAUGCAGUGUACCUCCAGGGGUUGCAGUGCCGCUGGCAGUGUCCUGAAAUGUUGAUGCAGUGCCUAUGCAGUCAUUGAAGUGAAUCUUCAGUGACUGCAGUGUACCUGCAGUGCCACUUCAGCUGAAUGCAGUGUAGCUGCAGUUGUUGCAGAGCCCCAUGUCAUAUCCCUGAAUGUGGAUGCUGUGCCCAUGCAGUGUCUGCAGUGUGACUCAAUGUGGAUGCAGUAUGUUGUGAAGUAGGAUUCAGUGCCCAUGAAGUGCGAUACAGUGAUCCUGCAGUCAUUGCAGUGCACAUGCAG
rnacentral:lncRNA from 1 species